rnacentral:rRNA from 1 species
CACGUAGGGGGCGAGCGUUGUCCGGAUUUAUUGGGCGUAAAGAGCUCGUAGGCGGCUCAGUAAGUCGGGUGUGAAACCCCCGGGCUCAACCCGGGGACGCCACCUGAUACUGCUGUGGCUUGAGUCCGGUAGGGGAGCGUGGAAUUCCUGGUGUAGCGGUGAAAUGCGCAGAUAUCAGGAGGAACACCAGCGGCGAAGGCGGCGCUCUGGACCGGUACUGACGCUGAGACGCGAAAGCGUGGGGAGCGAACAGG